GCCUCCGUAGUUCAGUCCGGUUAGAAUGACUGCCUCGUAAGCAGUAGGUCGGGAGUUCAAAUCUCCUCGGAGGCU
rnacentral:tRNA from 1 species